AUUGAACGCUGGCGGCAGGCUUAACACAUGCAAGUCGAGCGGGGUGAUGGUGCUUGCACUAUCACUUAGCGGCGGACGGGUGAGUAAUGCUUAGGAAUCUGCCUAUUAGUGGGGGACAACAUCUCGAAAGGGAUGCUAAUACCGCAUACGUCCUACGGGAGAAAGCAGGGGAUCACUUGUGACCUUGCGCUAAUAGAUGAGCCUAAGUCGGAUUAGCUAGUUGGUGGGGUAAAGGCCUACCAAGGCGACGAUCUGUAGCGGGUCUGAGAGGAGGAUCCGCCACACUGGGAAUGAGACACGGCCCAGACUCCUACGGGAGGCAGCAGUGGGGAAUAUUGGACAAUGGGGGGAACCCUGAUCAAGCCAUGCCGCGUGUGUGAAGAAGGCCUUAUGGUUGUAAAGCACUUUAAGCGAGGAGGAGGCUCUUUUGGUUAAUACCCAGGAUGAGUGGACGUUACUCGCAGAAUAAGCACCGGCUAACUCUGUGCCAGCAGCCGCCGUAACAC
rnacentral:rRNA from 1 species